rnacentral:rRNA from 1 species
UACGUAUGGGGCAAGCGUUGUUCGGAAUUAUUGGGCGUAAAGGGCGUCUAGGCGGGGGAUUAAGUUAGAUGUGAAAGCCAUGGGCUCAACCCAUGAACUGCAUCUAAGACUGGUUCUCUUGAGUUCGGGAGAGGAGAGCGGAAUUCCAGGUGUAGCGGUGAAAUGCGUAGAGAUCUGGAGGAAUACCGAUGGCGAAGGCGGCUCUCUGGAAUUCUGCUGACGCUGAGGCGCGAAAGUCGGGGGAGCAAACAGG